UCAAGCGAACAAGUGCAUGUGGUGGAUGCCUUGGCGAUCACAGGCGAUGAAGGACGCGGUAGCCUGCGAAAAGCUUCGGGGAGCUGGCAAACGAGCUUUGAUCCGGAGAUGUCCGAAUGGGGAAACCCGGCCCGUAUGGGUCAUCCCACACUGAAUCCAUAGGUGUGGGAAGCGAACGCGGCGAACUGAAACAUCUAAGUAGCUGCAGGAACAGAAAUCAACCGAGAUUCCCAAAGUAGUGGCGAACGAAAUGGGAUGAGCCUUGUACUCUUUAGCAGUGGUGUUAGCAGAACGGGAUGGAAAGCCCGGCCAUAGCAGGUGAUAGCCCUGUAUGCGAAAACACGAUUGUGGAACUAGGUGUACGACAAGUAGGGCGGGACACGUGAAAUCCUGUCUGAAGAUGGGGGGACCAUCCUCCAAGGCUAAAUACUCGUGAUCGACCGAUAGUGAACCAGUACCGUGAGGGAAAGGCGAAAAGAACCCCGGGAGGGGAGUGAAAUAGAUCCUGAAACCGCAUGCAUACAAACAGUCGGAGCCCUUUCGGGGGUGACGGCGUACCUUUUGUAUAAUGGGUCAGCGACUUACAUUCAGUGGCAAGCUUAACCGAUUAGGGAAGGCGUAGCGAAAGCGAGUCCGAACAGGGCGUUGAGUCGCUGGGUGUAGACCCGAAACCAGAUGAUCUAUCCAUGGCCAGGUUGAAGGUGCGGUAACACGUACUGGAGGACCGAACCCACUAACGUUGAAAAGUUAGGGGAUGAGCUGUGGAUAGGGGUGAAAGGCUAAACAAAUCUGGAAAUAGCUGGUUCUCUCCGAAAACUAUUUAGGUAGUGCCUCGUGUCUCACCUUCGGGGGUAGAGCACUGUCAUGGUUGGGGGGUCUAUUGCUGAUUACCCCGCCAUAGCAAACUCCGAAUACCGAAGAGUGCAAUCACGGGAGACAGACAUCGGGUGCUAACGUCCGGUGUCAAGAGGGAAACAACCCAGACCGCCAGCUAAGGUCCCCAAGAUUGGCUAAGUGGGAAACGAAGUGGGAAGGCUAAAACAGUCAGGAGGUUGGCUUAGAAGCAGCCACCCUUUAAAGAAAGCGUAAUAGCUCACUGAUCGAGUCGUCCUGCGCGGAAGAUGUAACGGGGCUAAGCCAGUCACCGAAGCUGCGGACGCACGCAAGUGCGUGGUAGGAGAGCGUUCUGUAAGCCUGUGAAGGUGUCUUGUAAAGGAUGCUGGAGGUAUCAGAAGUGCGAAUGCUGACAUGAGUAGCGAUAAAGGGGGUGAAAGGCCCCCUCGCCGUAAGCCCAAGGUUUCCUACGCAACGUUCAUCGGCGUAGGGUGAGUCGGCCCCUAAGGCGAGGCAGAGAUGCGUAGCUGAUGGGAAGCAGGUUAAUAUUCCUGCACCGUCGUAUGAUGCGAUGGGGGGACGGAUCGCGGAAGGUUGUCCGGGUGUUGGAAGUCCCGGUCCCUGCAUUGGAGAAGGCGCUCAGGCAAAUCCGGGCGCGGGAUUCAAGGAUGCGGGGCGAGCGGCCUAGUGCUGCGAAGCAAUUGGAAGUGGUUCCAAGAAAAGCCUCUAAGCUUCAGUCAUACGAGACCGUACCGCAAACCGACACAGGUGGGCGAGAUGAGUAUUCUAAGGCGCUUGAGAGAACUCGGGAGAAGGAACUCGGCAAAUUGGUACCGUAACUUCGGGAUAAGGUACGCCCUGGUAGCUUGACUGGCCUGCGCCAGAAGGGUGAAGGGGUUGCAAUAAAAUGGUGGCUGCGACUGUUUAAUAAAAACACAGCACUCUGCAAACACGAAAGUGGACGUAUAGGGUGUGACGCCUGCCCGGUGCCGGAAGAUUAAAUGAUGGGGUGCAAGCUCUUGAUUGAAGUCCCGGUAAACGGCGGCCGUAACUAUAACGGUCCUAAGGUAGCGAAAUUCCUUGUCGGGUAAGUUCCGACCUGCACGAAUGGCGUAACGAUGGCCACACUGUCUCCUCCCGAGACUCAGCGAAGUUGAAGUGUUUGUGAUGAUGCAAUCUCCCCGCGGCUAGACGGAAAGACCCCAUGAACCUUUACUGUAGCUUUGCAUUGGACUUUGAACCGAUCUGUGUAGGAUAGGUGGGAGGCUUUGAAGCGUGGACGCUAGUUCACGUGGAGCCGUCCUUGAAAUACCACCCUGGUUUGUUUGAGGUUCUAACCUUGGCCCGUGAAUCCGGGUCGGGGACAGUGCAUGGUAGGCAGUUUGACUGGGGCGGUCUCCUCCCAAAGUGUAACGGAGGAGUUCGAAGGUACGCUUGGUACGGUCGGACAUCGUACCUAAAGUGCAAUGGCAAAAGCGUGCUUAACUGCGAGACCGACAAGUCGAGCAGGUGCGAAAGCAGGACAUAGUGAUCCGGUGGUUCUGAAUGGAAGGGCCAUCGCUCAACGGAUAAAAGGUACUCUGGGGAUAACAGGCUGAUACCGCCCAAGAGUUCAUAUCGACGGCGGUGUUUGGCACCUCGAUGUCGGCUCAUCUCAUCCUGGGGCUGUAGCCGGUCCCAAGGGUAUGGCUGUUCGCCAUUUAAAGAGGUACGUGAGCUGGGUUUAAAACGUCGUGAGACAGUUUGGUCCCUAUCUGCCGUGGGCGUUGGAAUCUUGACGGGGGCUGCUCCUAGUACGAGAGGACCGGAGUGGACGUACCGCUGGUGUACCUGUUGUCUCGCCAGAGGCAUCGCAGGGUAGCUAUGUACGGAAGAGAUAACCGCUGAAAGCAUCUAAGCGGGAAACUCGCCUGAAGAUGAGGAUUCCCUGGAGGCUUGACCUCCUUGAAGGGUCGUUCGAGACCAGGACGUUGAUAGGCUGGGUGUGGAAGCGCAGUAAUGCGUUAAGCUAACCAGUACUAAUUGCCCGUAAGGCUUGAUCCU
rnacentral:rRNA from 2 species